rnacentral:rRNA from 1 species
GUGUCAGCCGCCGCGGUAAUACGUACUGGGCGAACGUUAUUCGGAAUCACUGGGCUUAAAGGGUGCGUAGGCGGUUCGGCAAGUCAGAUGUGAAAUCCCCCGGCCCAACCGGGGAACUGCGUUUGAAACUGCCGGACUUGAGUGCGAUAGGGGUGUGCGGAACUUCCAGUGGAGCGGUGAAAUGUGUUGAUAUUGGAAGGAACGCCGGUGGCGAAAGCGGCGCACUGGGUCGUUACUGACGCUGAGACACGAAAGCCAGGGGAGCGAACGGGAUUAGAUACCCCGGUAGUCCUGGCUGUAAACGAUGGGCACUAGACGGGAGACGCUUCGGCGGAUCCGGUCGCAGCGAAAGCACUAAGUGCCCCGCCUGGGGAGUAUGGUCGCAAGGCUGAAACUUAAAGGAAUUGGCGGGG